AUUGAACGCUGGCGGAAUGCUUUACACAUGCAAGUCGAACGGCAGCACGGGGGCAACCCUGGUGGCGGGUGGCGAACGGGUGAGUAAUACAUCGGAACGUGCCCGGUCGUGGGGGAUAACGUAGCGAAAGUUACGCUAAUACCGCAUACGAUCUGAGGAUGAAAGCGGGGGACCUUCGGGCCUCGCGCGAUCGGAGCGGCCGAUGUCAGAUUAGGUAGUUGGUGGGGUAAAGGCCUACCAAGCCGACGAUCUGUAGCUGGUCUGAGAGGACGACCAGCCACACUGGGACUGAGACACGGCCCAGACUCCUACGGGAGGCAGCAGUGGGGAAUUUUGGACAAUGGGCGCAAGCCUGAUCCAGCCAUUCCGCGUGCAGGACGAAGGCCUUCGGGUUGUAAACUGCUUUUGUAUGGAACGAAAAGGCUCUGGCUAAUACCGGGGGCUCAUGACGGUACCGUAAGAAUAAGCACCGGCUAACUACGUG
rnacentral:rRNA from 1 species